CAGCAGCCGCGGUAAUACGGAGGAUCCAAGCGUUAUCCGGAAUCAUUGGGUUUAAAGGGUCCGUAGGCGGUCUUGUAAGUCAGUGGUGAAAGCCCAUCGCUCAACGGUGGAACGGCCAUUGAUACUGCAGGACUUGAAUUAUUGGGAAGUAACUAGAAUAUGUAGUGUAGCGGUGAAAUGCUUAGAGAUUACAUGGAAUACCAAUUGCGAAGGCAGGUUACUACCAAUUGAUUGACGCUGAUGGACGAAAGCGUGGGUAGCGAACAGGAUUAGAUACCCCCGUAGUCCCUGUCUCUUAUAU
rnacentral:rRNA from 1 species